UACGGAGGGUGCGAGCGUUAAUCGGAUUUAUUGGGCGUAAAGGGGGUCUAGGCGGGAGAGAAAGUCAGGUGUGAAAUUUCGGAGCUUAACUUCGGAGCGGCAUUUGAAACUUCUCUUCUUGAGGGCAGUCGGAGAAAGUAGAAUUCCACGUGUAGCGGUGAAAUGCGUAGAUAUGUGGAAGAAUACCUGUGGCGAAAGCGACUUUCUAGAUUGUACCUGACGCUCAAGCCCGAAAGCGAGGGGAGCAAACAGG
rnacentral:misc_RNA from 1 species